GAGGGGGGUUUAAUCUGGACUGAAUUGGAGGAAAGGAACUGGCACCAGAGUGGAGGCUGGAAGGAUGGUGGAACUGACACUGGGACAGAACACAGAAAACAGAAUAUAAUGCUAUUGCUCUGGCUGUAUCAAAUAAAAGUGUCAAGAGUGAGCAUCCUUGCAUUGUGCUGAAUCACAGAGGAAUACCUUUCAAUUUUUCUCCAUUGACUAUGAUAGCAGUGGGCUUUUCACAUGUGGGCUUUACUGUGUUGAGGAGGAGGUCUGAUGGCCGGGAGGAUGGGAAGAAGGAACCCACAAUGAAGCAAAAGUCACGUUUAACUCUGUCCUCACCAUUCCUCUCCUGGGCCUGUCCUAAACUGGAAGCUGGGGGAGGAUGGAGUGCUGGAAUGCUGUAGAAGUCUCAUGGGAGGGCGCCUGGUGUUCACCACAUGUGUACACUGUUGCACGACCAGGAACCUUCAGAAAGGGCAGAAAGGAAGUUUACUUCUGCCUCUACAAUGGAUUUGCCUACUUUAGACAUGUUUUCAAGAUUUAUCCAUGUCAUGGCAUAUACCAGAACUUCAUUUCUUUUAUGAUUGAAUAAUAUUACAUGGUUUUAAUAUACUAUAUUUUGUUUAUCUGUUCAUCAAUUAAUAAAUCUUUGGGUUGUUUUCACUUUUAGGCUAUAAUAAUUAAUGCUGUUAGGAAUAUUUAUGUGUAAGCUUUUGUUAUAUGUUUUUAAUUCUCCUGGGUAGAUACUUAGGGAUAAAAUUGCUGAAUUGGAUUGUAGCUUUAUGUUUAGAAACUGCACAACUGUUUUCCAAAGUAACUAUCGUUUUUAUAUUUCACCAGCAUUGUAUGACAGUUCCGGUCUUUCCUUAUUUAAACUAAUACUUAAUUAUUGCCUUUUAUUGUAGCUAUCCUAGUAGAUAUGAAGUGUUAUCUCAUUAUGGUUUUGAUUUGCAUUCUCUAAUGACUAAUAAUAUCAAGCAUCUUUUCAUGUGUAUACAAGAUGUUUGUAUAUCUUCUUUAGAGAAAUGUCUAUUCAAAUCCUGUGCCUAUGUUUUAAUUGGAUAAUUUAUGUUUUUAUUGUUGAGUUGCAAUAGUUUUUAAAUAUAUUCUAGAUCCUAGACCUUUAACA
rnacentral:sRNA from 1 species